AAACAGAACUGUGGGGACACAGACAGGGAAUGGAGUCCGGGAAUGGAUAUCCCGGUGCAAGCGAGGUAGGAGUGCAGUUGGCAAAUCCGCAGCACGAUCUGAAGACGUGACGCGUACCGAACAUAAGUAGGGAAGUCCAGGCCCCUGGCUGUCAAGAAAAGCCGCUAUCGUUUUAUAUGUGCCCGUACCGUAAACCGACACAGGUGGAUGAGGAGAGAAUCCUAAGGCCGACGGGAGAAGUAUUGUUAAGGAACUCGGCAAAAUGACUCCGUAACUUCGGGAGAAGGAGUGCCAUGAGAGUGGCCGCAGAGAAAUGGCCCAAGCAACUGUUUAGCAAAAACACAGGUCUAUGCAAAACCGCAAGGUGAAGUAUAUGGGCUGACGCCUGCCCGGUGCUGGAAGGUUAAGGGGAGAGGUUAGCGCAAGCGAAGCUUUGAACUUAAGCCCCAGUAAACGGCGGCCGUAACUAUAACGGUCCUAAGGUAGCGAAAUUCCUUGUCGGGUAAGUUCCGACCCGCACGAAAGGCGUAAUGAUUUGGGCACUGUCUCAACGAUACACCCGGUGAAAUUGAAAUACCAGUGAAGAUGCUGGUUACCUGCGCCAGGACGGAAAGACCCCAUGGAGCUUUACUCCAGUUUGAUACUGGGAUUCGGCAUGGUAUGUACAGGAUAGGUGGGAGACUGAGAAGGUAUGACGUCAGUUGUACCGGGGUCGCUGUUGGGAUACCACCCUUACCAUGUUGGAUUUCUAACCUGUGGCCGUAAGCCGGUCAGGGGACAAUGUCAGGCGGGGAGUUUGACUGGGGCGGUCGCCUCCGAAAGGGUAUCGGAGGCGCUCAAAGGUUCCCUCAGAAUGGUUGGAAACCAUUCGAAGAGUGCAAAGGCAGAAGGGAGCUUGACUGUGACACCGACGGGUGGAGCAGGUACGGAAGUAGGACUUAGUGAUCCGGUGGUAUAAAGUGGGAUUGCCAUCGCUCAACGGAUAAAAGCUACCCUGGGGAUAACAGGCUUAUCACUCCCAAGAGUUCACAUCGACGGAGUGGUUUGGCACCUCGAUGUCGGCUCAUCGCAUCCUGGAGCUGUAGCAGGUUCCAAGGGUUGGGCUGUUCGCCCAUUAAAGCGGUACGCGAGCUGGGUUCAGAACGUCGUGAGACAGUUCGGUCCCUAUCCGGCGCAGGCGGAGGAAAUUUGAUAGGAGCUGUCCUUAGUACGAAAGGACCGGGAUGGACGGACCGCUGGUGUAUCUGUUGUACUGCCAAGUGCAUAGCAGAGUAGCCAAGUCUGGAAGGGAUAAACGCUGAAGGCAUCUAAGCGUGAAGCCCCCCUAAAGAUAAGAUUUCCCAUACCAUAAGGUAGUAAGACCCCUUGAA
rnacentral:rRNA from 1 species